GACGAACGCUGGCGGCGUGCUUAACACAUGCAAGUCGAACGAGAAUCACUGGAAGGAGUUUUCGGACAACGGAAGGUGAGGACAGUGGCGGACGGGUGAGUAACGCGUGAGGAACCUGCCUUUCAGAGGGGGACAACAGUUGGAAACGACUGCUAAUACCGCAUGACACAUAGAGAUCGCAUGGUUUUUAUGUCAAAGAUUUAUCGCUGAAAGAUGGCCUCGCGUCUGAUUAGCUAGUUGGUGAGGUAACGGCCCACCAAGGCGACGAUCAGUAGCCGGACUGAGAGGUUGACCGGCCACAUUGGGACUGAGAUACGGCCCAGACUCCUACGGGAGGCAGCAGUGGGGAAUAUUGGGCAAUGGGCGCAAGCCUGACCCAGCAACGCCGCGUGAAGGAAGAAGGCUUUCGGGUUGUAAACUUCUUUUGUCGGGGACGAGUAGAAGACGGUACCUGGCGAAUAAGCCACGGCUAACUACGUGCCAGCAGCCGCGGUAAUACGUAGGUGGCAAGCGUUGUCCGGAUUUACUGGGUGUAAAGGGCGUGUAGCCGGGAAGGCAAGUCAGAUGUGAAAUCCACGGGCUUAACUCGUGAACUGCAUUUGAAACUACUUUUCUUGAGUAUCGGAGAGGCAAUCGGAAUUCCUAGUGUAGCGGUGAAAUGCGUAGAUAUUAGGAGGAACACCAGUGGCGAAGGCGGAUUGCUGGACGACAACUGACGGUGAGGCGCGAAAGCGUGGGGAGCAAACAGG
rnacentral:rRNA from 1 species